rnacentral:rRNA from 1 species
ACCGACGCAUUUCUUCCCGUCCCGGGACGUCGCAGCCGGUCGGAUCCAAGUGGACACCCACAGCAGUGGCCGUUGGUCCUCCGUCGUCGUUGACCCGCGGGGUCCGGCGGCUUGCGGCGAGUAAGUCGGUCACCCACCCGGCCCGUCUUGAAACACGGACCAAGGAGUGUAACAUGUGCGCGAGUCAUGGGGACUUGAACAGGCCCAAAGGCGAAACGAAAGUGAAGUCGGGAUGCCGAGGCCGCACCGACGGCCCGCGCGGUGUCUGAGCGCACACGUUACUACCCGAAAGAUGGUGAUCUAUGCCUGGCCAGGGUGAAGUCAGAGGAAACUCUGGUGGAAGCCCGCAGCGCUUCUGACGUGCAAAUCGAUCGCGCGAGCCAGGUAUAGCGGCGAAAGACUAAUCGAACCAUCUAGUAGCUGGUUCCCUCCGAAGUUUCUCUCAGGAUAGCUGGCGCUCGUUAAGUCGCAUCAGGUCAAGCGA